rnacentral:tRNA from 2 species
UCCCCCGUGGCGCAAUUGGAUAGCGCGUUAGACUGUUAAUCUAAAGGUUGGUGGUUCGAGCCCACCCGGGGGAG